AUGGCGAUCAUGAGUCCGCAUGUUCACAUGAUUAAAGGUAUUCCGGUAGACGAUGGGGAUGCGUUCCAUUAGAUAGUAGGCGGGGUAACGGCCCACCUAGUCCUCGAUGGAUAGGGGUUCUGAGAGGAAGGUCCCCCACAUUGGAACUGAGACACGGUCCAAACUCCUACGGGAGGCAGCAUG
rnacentral:rRNA from 1 species